rnacentral:rRNA from 1 species
AGCAGUAGCCGCGGUAAAACGAAGGGUGCAAGCGUUAAUCGGAAUUACUGGGCGUAAAGCGUGCGCAGGCGGUUAUAUAAGACAGAUGUGAAAUCCCCGGGCUCAACCUGGGAACUGCAUUUGUGACUGUAUAGCUAGAGUACGGCAGAGGGGGAUGGAAUUCCGCGUGUAGCAGUGAAAUGCGUAGAUAUGCGGAGGAACACCGAUGGCGAAGGCAGUCCCCUGGGCCUGUACUGACGCUCAUGCACGAAAGCGUGGGGAGCAAACAGGAUUAGAUACCCCUGUAGUCCCUGUCUCUUAUAC